rnacentral:snRNA from 1 species
GUGCUCACUUCAGCAGCAUAUAUACUGUAAUUGGAAUAAUUUAUAGAAGAUUACCAUGGCCUCUGUGCAAAGAUGACACAUUAAUUCAUGGAUAUAUUCUAUAAAUUU